rnacentral:lncRNA from 1 species
CUAGGGACACAGCUCUUAGACUUUGAGCUAGACAACCAGGAGGACAGGAGGACCUAGUAUCCUGCCUCCAUCAGCCCAUCAUUUAUGCAAAUGCUACUUAGUUGCCGUCUAGAUGCAGGAUGCUGUCUGCCCUGUUAAAUGCUGUGUGAACCCAGAUGGAAGCUGAGCAGACAUCACACUCGUGAGCAGCUCCCCUUCCUGUGAGCAUCUCCCCUUCCUAUGUUAUACGACCUCGUUCGCUGAAGUCAAAGAUGCAGAGGGGCCAAGGUGUGGGCUCCGGACCUCACACCAGUGUGGCAGAUUCAACAAGCCCAGAAUAAGCCUCUUCCUUUGCUCACAAUAAGAUUUAUUAUAGAAGCAACAACUUCUGCAUACCAGAGGUGAGAGAUG